GGCUCCGUGGCUUAAUGGUUACGGCUUCUGCCUCAAAAGCAGAAGGUUCAGGGAUCAACUCCCGGUCGGUACCU
rnacentral:tRNA from 1 species